UUCCAGACUCCUACGGGAGGCAGCAGUGGGGAAUAUUGCACAAUGGGGGAAACCCUGAUGCAGCGACGCCGCGUGAGUGAAGAAGUAUUUCGGUAUGUAAAGCUCUAUCAGCAGGAAAGAAAAUGACGGUACCUGACUAAGAAGCCCCGGCUAACUACGUGCCAGCAGCCGCGGUAAUACGUAGGGGGCAAGCGUUAUCCGGAUUUACUGGGUGUAAAGGGAGCGUAGACGGCCGUGCAAGUCUGAUGUGAAAACCCGGGGCUCAACCCCGGGGCUGCAUUGGAAACUGCAUGGCUGGAGUGUCGGAGAGGCAAGUGGAAUUCCUAGUGUAGCGGUGAAAUGCGUAGAUAUUAGGAGGAACACCAGUGGCGAAGGCGGCUUACUGGACUGUAACUGACGUUGAGGCUCGAAAGCGUGGGGAGCAAACAGGAUUAGAUACCCUGGUA
rnacentral:rRNA from 1 species